UUUUUUUUUCAAGAGGCAGGGGGAGCCGGUAAAGUUCAGGAUACCGACCCCCCAAAAACAAUUUUUUUUAAACAAUUUUGAAAAAUAGAAUGGACUCUAUUUCGGCAUUGCUUCCAAAAUUCUUACUAAAGCAGCCCAAAUAAUGAGGAAAUUUUCUUGGCCCAAUUAAAACAAUCACCAACACAAGAGCCCAAUUACUCACAAUCAAAGCCCAAUUAAAUACCCAUUAAGCUCCAACCAUAGGAGCCCUA
rnacentral:lncRNA from 1 species